rnacentral:rRNA from 1 species
AUUGAACGCUGGCGGCAGGCCUAACACAUGCAAGUCGAGCGAGCGGCGGACGGGUGAGUAAUGUCUGGGAAACUGCCUGAUGGAGGGGGAUAACUACUGGAAACGGUAGCUAAUACCGCAUACCAUCAGAUGUGCCCAGAUGGGAUUAGCUAGUGGGUGGGGUAAAGGCUCACCACGGCGACGAUCCCUAGCUGGUCUGAGAGGAUGACCAGCCACACUGGAACUGAGACACGGUCCAGACUCCUACGGGAGGCAGCAGUGGGGAAUAUUGCACAAUGGGCGCAAGCCUGAUGCAGCCAUGCCGCGUGUGUGAAGAAGGCCUUCGGGUUGUAAAGCACUUUAAGCGGGGAGGCGUUACCAGCAGAAGAAGCACCGGCUAACUCCGUGCCAGCAGCCGCGGUAAUUC